AGGGUUUGAUUAUGGCUCAGAACGUACGCUGGCGGCACGCCUAACACAUGCAAGUCGAACGAAGUAGCAAUACUUAGUGGCAGACGGAUGAGUAACAUGUAGGUAUCUGCCCUUUGGCCUGGAAUAACACGAGGAAACUUGUGCUAAUACCGGAUAAGUCUUUACGGAGAAAGCUUUAUGCACCAUUGGAUGAGCCUGCACUUGAUUAGUUUGUUGGUGGGGUAAUGGCCUACCAAGACUGUGAUCAAUAGCUGAUUUGAGAGGAUGAUCAGCCACAUUGGGACUGAGACACGGCCCAAACUCCUACGGGAGGCAGCAGUGGGGAAUCUUGCACAAUGGAGGAAACUCUGAUGCAGCGAUGCCGCGUGAGUGAAGAAGGCCCUUGGGUUGUAAAGCUCUUUCGUCGGGGAAGAAAAUGACUGUACCCGAAUAAGAAGGUCCGGCUAACUUCGUGCCAGCCGCCGCGGUAAUAC
rnacentral:rRNA from 1 species